rnacentral:lncRNA from 1 species
UAUAAGCAAAUGUCUAGAAAUAACUCACAUUACGAUCUGGACACUUGUAGAAUAUACGACCCUUGUUUACUCCCUCUUUCGACACUUUGUACUCCAUCAAAAUCUUCUGCCCACACUUGCCACAAGUAAUAAUAGGGAGUUCCGGACGGUAUCGCUUUUGAACCCGUUGAGAGACCGAAGACCCAGUCACGGUUGCCAUCUACUAUCCAUACUCAUUUUUUAAACAAUUAUAAAUUCCACAUUUACUAGUAAACAUGUAUGAUACAAUGGAUAUUAUAUGUAGUAAUAAAAAUAAAUCAAGUGAUAUUAACAAACCAAUUAAUUUGAACUAUCCCAC